CCUACGGGAGGCAGCAGUGGGGAAUAUUGCACAAUGGGGGAAACCCUGAUGCAGCGACGCCGCGUGAGUGAAGAAGUAUUUCGGUAUGUAAAGCUCUAUCAGCAGGGAAGAAAAUGACGGUACCUGAUGAAGAAGCCCCGGCUAACUACGUGCCAGCAGCCGCGGUAAUACGUAGGGGGCAAGCGUUAUCCGGAUUUACUGGGUGUAAAGGGAGCGUAGACGGCAGCACAAGUCUGGAGUGAAAUGCCGGGGCUUAACCCCGGAACUGCUUUGGAAACUGUGCAGCUAGAGUGCAGGCGAGGUAAGUGGAAUGCCUAGUGUAGCGGUGAAAUGCGUAGAUAUUAGGAGGAACCCCAGUGGCGAAGGCGGCUUACUGGACUGUAACUGACGUUGAGGCUCGAAAGCGUGGGGAGCAAACAGGAUUAGAUACCCUGGUAGUC
rnacentral:rRNA from 1 species